GGUGUUGCUUGAUGCUGCUUCUCUGUUCUGUUUUGAGACCAUGUGUUCGUAAACAGUUGCCUAUCUACACACCAAGCAGAUACGGGGCAACAUUCAUUUGGAGCUGUAUAUCUGCCCACAUGGCACCAUGGAAAACUGAGCCAGGCCUUGGGCUGCCAGCGGAGGACGUGAAGUCAAGCCAGGGAGCCAAGGCCACUGUCAGCUCUCAGUGGUUAGAAUAACCCAGUAAAAACCUCUUGGGAACCCGGCUUGGAUCGGACCGGCGCUGGCAGAGACGCAUGCCAUCAUCAUCAGCAGCAGCUACCACCGCCGCCGCCACAGGUAACGGAUUCAUGGCAAGCCGAAAGACCAGCAGGAUUCUGGGAGGGGGGGAAUUUGUGAGACGAGGCUUUAAUGAGAAGCUAGGCCUCGUCGGCCCGGCGAGAAAUGUAUGCAAAUGAUAUGCACACACCAAAAAGGACCCUGGGUAGGCGAGGCGAGCGUCGGCCCCGAGCUCCUGCUGAGCUCUGAGGAAGACGAGCGGCUCAGGUCAGAAGAAUGACAACAAAACGCCUCCUCCUUCUUUCUCUCUUUCUUUCUCUUCAUCCUGCAGCAGAGAGACGAGAAACUGGUGAACACAUCAGAGAUGAGUUUGUAGUGCUGCUACAUGAUGUUGUUGAUGUGUUUUUAGUUUCUGGAUUGCUGUUGCUAGGGAGAUUUUUAUUUUUUUUAAUUAUUUUUACAAGCACGCUGACAUUUGUGAGGUCAAAUCUGGAGAAUAAACACAUUUAUACUUUCUAGAUGUUUGACUGUCAUAAAUAAUUACUGUAAAAAUUAAAAAGUGAGCUCAGCAGAGAGCUCACAUUGGUGUCCUUUUUUUUUUUUAAUUGUGCUUAUGGAAGUAAUUUGACUGUAACCACUUCUGACACGUCAUUUGGAAAUUUUAAACUCACAACAUGGCUGUUUAAUCAAAAGUGUGCAGUGUGUGUAAGAGGUCCCAAUAAGUGAAAUUACCUGUUUUUAAUCAUGCAAUAAAAUAAAACGUGUCAACAAUUAAAAAAGACAGUUGUGAUUUGAAGUUAUUUUACACGUCUGAUGCCAAAUGUGGCUUUUUUUUUUAUUUGACUA